GUUUUCCACUAAUGGACCACAUGUCCCACCAUCUAAGGAAUAUUCCAAAAAGACAUGGCAUUCUCCUCAUCAAACUACUUAUUUAUUUCAAAAUAAAACUACCCAUCCUCAUUCAACACUUCCAAUGGGAAAAUUCAGAGAUGAGAUCUUAACACAGCUUCACUCAGGAAGAGACUCACAUGACAGAGCAACUCUGAAUGCAAAGUGACAUCUUCACAAAUGCCAUGGCCAUUGCUGACCCAUGAUUCAGCUAAGUUAAGCAGUCAUAAGGAAAGAAUUACGUGUACUUCAUAUCCCUAUAAAUUGUAAAUGCUAAAAAUGUUAAAGAACUCGAAGUAUUUCUCUAAAAGGCUGUCAAGAGAAUCUAGGUCUGCUAUGACUUAUUCCAAGUCCUCAGAGUUAAGUCAAGGAGUGUUCUUUGCCCCAGUCUCCCUAAGACAGUGCCUAUACAUUGGACAAAAAGUCCAAGGAGAGCCAAACUAGUGCAGUAAACGUUUGUACCCAAGUCCUCACCACCAGUCAUGAGUUGGCCUGUCACUUAAGUCAUUUCUCAACAAUGGCACUCACAAAGAGCUCCACAAUCAAGAUGGCAAAUGGAAACGUAAUCUGACUUCCUGGUGAAAAAUAAAAACCGGAGAAGUCAUUUGGAGGGCCAUCCUAAAGCUCUACUGUAUAAUGACGCCAGCAUGAGCCAGAAAGGGAAGGGCAGUGGGACUUGAGUAUUCUACAGAAAAAUUGAUACAGUCAUGCAAGAGGUAGGGGGGUAAAGAAUAAGUAGUCCUAUCAAUCAGGUAUAAGUUGUUUCAAGAGAGAAGAUUCACCAAAACUUGGAUCUCACCCCAUUCCAAACCCAACCCCAACCCUACUUUCCCCAUGAGACUCCCUGCCUGCUGCCAGUACUCAGAAAUCCCAGCAGUAUAUUCUAAAAAAAUUAAAAAAUAACAGAGCAUUGACUCCAGUAGAUUAGAGUUUAAGUGUUUGCUCUUUCCCCGAAGUCUUUAAAGGACCUUGAAGCAGGUCACCAUGCUUGCAAAUUAAGUUUCAGCAGCUCUACCUCCUGGCAGAAGGACUGAGUCCAAAUCGCAUGCAGUGCACGUUGAAGUUUUCAGAAGCAUGGGCAGUCGGCAGUAGUAACAGAGUCUCACCCCAGAAGGAAAAGAGGGGAUAGGGAAAACAAAAGAUUAUGCAAGCCCCCAGCCCUUCCUGAAGCCCGUGCUCUGCCCAGCACUCGGAUGCUGCUCUUUUCUUGCUUACCAACCAACUCCAUUUGCUUGUGAUGGCCCCAUUUUUACAGUUUUCCACAUGCUGGGGAGCCUAGGCCAAGCUGGUCACAAGUGGUCACUUACUCUUGCCAUUCUUCAUGAACCAAACCAACUGUGUGACUGUCUGAUGUGCCACCUCACUCAGAGGGAAGCUCUAACAUUGCCUCUGUAAUAUAAUGCUAGUGACUGUAUGUAGUACAUGUUAUAUGUGUAUAAUCUUUUUACUGAUAGACUGGAAACAUGUCAUCAUUUUUUAGAAAGAAAAAUAAACUUGGUUUUUCC
rnacentral:lncRNA from 1 species